rnacentral:tRNA from 1 species
GGCCUGCUGGCUCAAUGGCAGAGCGUCUGACUACGAAUCAGGAGGUUCCAGGUUCGAGACCUGGGUGGGUCG